CCUACGGGAGGCAGCAGUGGGGGAUAUUGCACAAUGGGGGAAACCCUGAUGCAGCGACGCCGCGUGGGUGAAGAAGCGCCUCGGCGCGUAAAGCCCUGUCAGCAGGGAAGAAAAUGACGGUACCUGAAGAAGACGCCCCGGCUAACUACGUGCCAGCAGCCGCGGUAAUACGUAGGGGGCAAGCGUUAUCCGGAUUUACUGGGUGUAAAGGGGGCGCAGACGGGGAUGCAAGCCAGGGGUGAAAGCACUGGGCCCAACCCCGGGACUGCUCUUGGAACUGCGUGGCUAGAGUGCAGGAGGGGCAGGCGGAAUUCCUGGUGUAGCGGUGAAAUGCGUAGAUAUCAGGAGGAACACCGGUGGCGAAGGCGGCCUGCUGGACUGCAACUGACGUUGAGGCCCGAAAGCGUGGGGAGCAAACAGGAUUAGAUACCCCGGUAGUC
rnacentral:rRNA from 1 species